AAAAAUCAAUACCCUUCAUCUAGAAGCCAUGAUCAGUUUACAGCAGUGUCAUCUACUGGACCUAAUAUUCAGUCUACCAAAUUCCAUGAACAACACUUUCCACAACAUUCCAGUGCUACAAAAACUCAACAACCUUCAUCAGGGAGCCAUGAUCAGUUUACACCAGUGUCAUCUACUGGACCUAAUAUUCAGCACCCUUCUACCAAAUUCCAUGACCAACACUUGCCGCAGCAAUCCAGUGCUACAAAACCUCAAUACCCUUCAUCCGGAACCCAUGAUCAGUUUACACCAGUGUCAUCUACUGGACCUAAUAUUCAGUACCCUUCCACCUUCCAUGACCAACACUUGCCGCAGCAAUCCAGUGCUACAAAACCUCAAUUCCCUUCAUCCGGAACCCAUGAUCAGUUUACACCAGUGUCAUCUACUGGACCUAAUAUUCAGCACCCUUCCACCUUCCAUGACCAACACUUACCACAACAAUUCAGUUCUACAAAACCUCAAUUCCCCUCAUCCGGAACCCAUGAUCAGUUUACACCAGUGUCAUCUACUGGACCUAAUAUUCAGCACCCUUCUACUAAAAUCCAUGACCAACACUUACCACAACAAUUCAGUGCUACAAAAUCUCAAUACCCUUCAUCUGGAAACCAUGAUCAGUUUACACCAGUUUCAUCUACUGGACCUAAUAUUCAGCACCCUUUGACCAAAAUCCAUGACCAACACUUGCCUCAACAAUCCAGUGCUACAAAAACUCAGUACCCUUCAUCUGGAACUCAU
rnacentral:lncRNA from 1 species